rnacentral:rRNA from 1 species
CCUACGGGAGGCAGCAGUGAGGAAUAUUGGUCAAUGGACGAGAGUCUGAACCAGCCAAGUAGCGUGAAGGAUGACUGCCCUAUGGGUUGUAAACUUCUUUUAUAUGGGAAUAAAAUGUUCCACGUGUGGGAUUUUGUAUGUACCAUAUGAAUAAGGAUCGGCUAACUCCGUGCCAGCAGCCGCGGUAAUACGGAGGAUCCGAGCGUUAUCCGGAUUUAUUGGGUUUAAAGGGUGCGUAGGUGGAUUGUUAAGUCAGUUGUGAAAGUUUGCGGCUCAACCGGAAAAUUGCAGUUGAAACUGGCAGGCUUGAGUACAGUAGAGGUGGGCGGAAUGCGUGGUGUAGCGGUGAAAUGCUUAGAUAUCACGAAGAACACCGAUUGCGAAGGCAGCUCACUGGACUACAACUGACACUGAGGCUCGAAAGUGUGGGUAUCAAACAGGAUUAGAUACCCCUGUAGUC